AGAAGAAAGUAGAGGAAGCUUUGCGCAGCAAAAUGAAGCAGAAAGCGUUGAAGGAGUGCGAUCAUUACGCUUCGAAAUAUGCUGAAUGCGCCUACGGCAGAACGUUAUCCGUCGUUUUCAAGUGUCGUAAUCAAGCUAAAGAAUUGAACAAUUGCCUUCACCUAUACACUAACGACUCCGUGUUGGAAGAGAUGAAGCGGGAAUAUGCACUCCA
rnacentral:misc_RNA from 1 species